rnacentral:lncRNA from 1 species
AUGUACCAGGUUCAGCCACCCUAUCAUAAACAUAUCAGUGUCCAGAACCAAAUGGAACCAAAUAAACUUUCCAUUGUAAGUUAUCCAGCCUUCUGCAUUCAGAUGAAUAAUCACAGAAAGGCCACAAUUUUACAAGGAAAGCCCUCUAUGAUUAGCGCAUUACCGGCUGUUUGUGGAUUUGCCUGCAGCAUCGUGACUUGCAUUUUCUUCAAGGAUUCUCUGUCAAGGUUACUGUCAGCAGUUCAUCACCUCUAACUGAAGACAUACAAGCAAUAUAUGGCUGCCAUGAGGAUAAUAAUCAUUAUUCUCCAGGAACAAGUCCCGAUGAAUUAUCUGGACCUAAGUGGUCAGUCCUAAGCACAUAUAUAUGUGAGCAACACUACGUGGGCUCAGCAGGUUGUAUUUAUUUAUGCAUUUUCAUGUUUUUAAAUAAUGAAAAAAGAGGCCAUGGGAGAACUUGUGGCACUAGAGGUGUUUGAAUGGUGAAAAUAGGACAUAGAAAUAAUGUAAACUUAGCACUAUUGUCUAAAAUUCUCACAAAGUAGUAACGAAAUAAAUGUUUCAAAGAUAGACCUUUGUAUUCA